CAUAACCCCGGGAACCUGGGUAUAAUACCCGAUAGGUCUCGAUUGCUGGAAUGCAUCGAGAUUUAAAGCUCCGGCGCCUAAGGAUGGGUCUGCGGCCUAUCAGGUAGUAGUGGGUGUAGCGUACCUACUAGCCUACGACGGGUACGGGUUGUGAGAGCAAGAGCCCGGAGAUGGAUUCUGAGACACGAAUCCAGGCCCUACGGGGUGCAGCAGGCGCGAAAACUUUACAAUGCUGGCAACAGCGAUAAGGGAACCUCGAGUGCCAGGUUACAAAUCUGGCUGUCGAGAUGCCUAAAAAGCAUUUCAUAGCAAGGGCCGGGCAAGACCGGUGCCAGCCGCCGCGGUAACACCGGCGGCUCGAGUGGUAACCGUUAUUAUUGGGUCUAAAGGGUCUGUAGCCGGCCGGAUAAGUCUCUUGAGAAAUCUGGCAGCUUAACUGUCAGGCUUUCAGGAGAUACUGUCUGGCUCGAGGCCGGGAGAGGUGAGAGGUACUUCAGGGGUAGGGGUGAAAUCUUGUAAUCCUUGAAGGACCACCAGUGGCGAAGGCGUCUCACCAGAACGGACCUGACGGCAAGGGACGAAAGCUAGGGGCACGAACCGGAUUAGAUACCCGGGUAGUCCUAGCCGUAAACGAUACUCGCUAGGUGUCGGCCACGGUGCGACCGUUGUCGGUGCCGUACGGAAGCCGUGAAGCGAGCCACCUGGGAAGUACGGCCGCAAGGCUGAAACUUAAAGGAAUUGGGCGGGGGAGCACAACAACGGGUGGAGCUUGCGGUUUAAUUUGGAAUUCAACGCCGGAAAUCUUACCGGGGACCGGACAGCCAUAUGAAAGGCCAGGCUGAAGACCUUUGCCUGGAUUAGCCUGAGAAGGUGGAUGCAUG
rnacentral:rRNA from 1 species